UCUCCCUACAAGACCUUCGGCGACGAAGCAUAGUCCCAACAACACCUUUUUCCGCCAUACAGUUGCCACAAUAUCAUAGAAACGUCAUUUGAGGUUUAAAAGGUGAUCUAUUGUUUUGAAUUCUUUAUAUUCCAACUUUUUAGCAACUGUAUGGUGGAAACCUGUUAUCACAAAAGGUCAUUAGCUAGCCCAAUAACGUCUUCAUCCACUAGUUGUACUCUAAUACCCUCUCGUGCGAAUACAAUGCCCUCAAUAUCAUAGAAACACUAUUUUUGUGUGGUGUUUUACUUGAGUGGACAUAAACACCAUCUAAGGAUGCCAUGAAUAGACGGGAUUAUUGGAAACCAGGUAUCACAAAAGGUCAUUAGCUAGCCUAAUAACGUCUUCAUCCACUAGUUGUGCUCUAAUACCCUCUAGUGUGAAUACAAUGCCCUCAAUAUCAUAGAAACGUCAUUUGAGGUUUAAAAGGUGAUCUAUUGUUUUGAAUUCUUUAUAUUCCAACUUUUUAGCAACUGUAUGGUGGAAAAAAGUUGUCUUACAACCUUAACCUAUGUUUGGACAGUUCACUCACGCAAUUUGGCUAAAUUUUCCAUAGUCUUUAUUUUAUUUUGAGAAACGAUGUGGUAUAUUGAUGUGUGGUGUUUUACUUGAGUGGACAUAAACACAAUCUAAGGCUGCCAUGAAUAGACGGGAUUAUAGUUAACAUAUUAUCACAAAAGGUCAUUAGCUAGCCCACUAAUGUCUUCAGCCACUAGUUGUACUCUAAUACCCUCUCGUGCGAAUACAAUGCCCUCAAUAUCAUAGAAACACUAUUUUUGUGUGGUGUUUUACUUGAGUGGACAUAAACACCAUCUAAGGAUGCCAUGAAUAGACGGGAUUAUUGGAAACCAGGUAUCACAAAAGGUCAUUAGCUAGCCCAAUAACGUCUUCAUCCACUAGUUGUACUCUAAUACCCUCUAGUGUGAAUACAAUGCCCACAAUAUCAUAGAAACGUCAUUUGAGGUCAUUAGCUAGCCCAAUAACGUCUUUAUCCACUAGUUGUACUCUAAUACCCUCUAGUGUGAAUACAAUGCCCACAAUAUCAUAGAAACGUCAUUUGAGGUUUAAAAGGUGAUCUAUUGUUUUGAAUUCUUUAUAUUCCAACUUUUUAGCAACUAUAUGGUGGAAAAAAGUUGUCUUACAACCUUAACCUAUGUUUGGACAGUGCACUCACGCAAUUUGGCUAAAUUUUCCAUAGUCUUUAUUUUAUUUUGAGAAACGAUGUGGUAUAUUGAUGUGUGGUGUUUUACUUGAGUGGACAUAAACACAAUCUAAGGAUGCCAUGAAUAGACGAGAUUAUAGUUAACAUAUUAUCACAAAAGGUCAUUAGCUAGCCCAAUAACGUCUUCAUCCACUAGUUAUACUCUAAUACCCUCUAGUGUGAAUACAAUGCCCACAAUAUCAUAGAAACAUCAUUUGAGGUUUAAAAGGUGAUCUAUUGUUUUGAAUUCUUUAUAUUCCAACUUUUUAGCAACUGUAUGGUGUUUUACUUGAGUGUGAAUACCUGAACCACUCUAUUACCUCAAGUUAGCAAUACAAUCAUUUGAGGUUUAAAAGGUGAUCUAUUGUUUUGAAUUCUUUAUAUUCCAACUUUUUAGCAAGUGUAUGGUGGAAAAAGGUGUCUUACAACCUUAACCUAUGUUUGCACAGUUCUCUCGUGCAAUUUGGCUAAAUUUCCCAUGGUCUUUAUUUUAUUUUGAGAAACGAUGUGGUAUAAUGAUGUGCGAUGUUUUACUUGAGUGGACAUAAACACCAUUUAGGUAUGCCUUGAAUAGAGGGGAUUAUUGGAAACCUGGUAUCACAAAAGGUCAUUAGCUAGCCCAAUAACGUCUUCAUCCACUAGUUAUACUCUAAUACCCUCUAGUGUGAAUACAAUGCCCACAAUAUCAUAGAAACGUCAUUUGAGGUUUAAAAGGUGAUCUAUUGUUUUGAAUUCUUUAUAUUCCAACUUUGUUUUACUCAAGUAAAUUUUCCAUAGUUAUUCUUUAUAAUCCCGUCUAUUCAUGGCAUGCCAUGAAUAGACGGGAUUAUUCCCGUCGGUCCAUUUUUAUUCAGGAAGAUUCCCGUCGGCUAUUUUUAUUCCCGUCGGUCCGAGCUCGGGCCGACGGGAAUUAGGUAACUCCCGUCGGCUCAAUUCUAGCCCACGGGCUUUAUUUUAACUCCUGUCGGCCAGCCGCCAGCCGACGGGCUUUAUUUUAACUCCCGUCUGCCCAGCCGCCAGCUGACGGGAGUUAACUAAUUCCCGUCGGCCCUGACGACAGCCGACGGGAAUUAAUUCUUUAUGUUCCGACGGUCAUCCCGCGCGGCUCAUUUUCUCGCUUCCUCUCGGUUUCACGCCGCCGCCGGAGAACUCCCGCCCCCGACGCCGGCCGCCGCCCACCACCGCCCCGGCCAGCCGCCCGCGGCCUAGGAGCGCGCCCGCCGCCGCCCCGGUAGUGCCGCCCGCAACCGUCACCGCCCCGGAGCGCCGUCCGCCGCGCCGCCUCCGCCCCCGUAGCGCCGCCGGCCCCGUAGCGCCGCCCGCCGCCCGCCCACGCCCCCGGAGCGCCGCCCGCUCCAGGAGCAACGACCGCCGCCCGCCCCGCCUUCGGAGCGCCGUCCACCGCGCCGCCGGCCCCGGAGCGCCUUCUGCAGCCCGUCCCCGUUGCGCCGCCCGCCCCCGAAGCGUCGCCCGCUGCUCGCCGCCACCAAUGCCGCCGCCGCGGAGCGCCGCAGCCGCCCCGGACCGUUAAGGUAUAUUAUUGUUUGAAUUAUUUAAUGUAAAUGCGAGUGUUAUUGUUAAAUGUGUGUAUAAAUGUUUAUUUUCGUCGGUUUUUUAUGGCCGACGGGAGUUAAGUUUCAUGUGAUUAGAGUUAGUUUAGGGUGUGAUUAGAGUGUAAUUAGAGUUAGUUUAAUAUAACAUGUGAUUAGAGUGUGAAUAGAGUUAGUUUAAUAUCACAUGUGUGCCUUGAUGUUACGUAUAAGUAUUAAUUCUAUUAUUAUAAUAAAUUUAACUUAUUCUAUUAAAUUGUUGAAUUUGAUGUUAUUUAUUGAAUAGAUUUAACUUAUCAUAUUAGGUUGUAUGAAGGUUUUGCUAUUGAUAAAUUUAAUGUUAUUUAUGUAUAUAACUAUAUAUUUAUGUAUAUAUAUAGUUUUUAUGUAUAUAUAUAGUUAUUCAUGUAUAUAUAUAUAGUUUUACUACUUACCUAUAGAUGUAUGUGUUACGUUUAGAAAUGUGAUAUUGUCUCACACACUCUUUACUCGUACACACAGCCGCAAUAAUGGGUGAUAGACGUGAUUGGAUGUAUGAAGGUUUCAAGAAGGGUGGGUGUCACACAAGUGAAUGGUUUGCCAAGACGCAGAUGUUUCUGGACCAUGCAGCUGCUUUGUCACAAAUAGAUAAUAUUAGGUGUCCAUGCAAUAAAUGUAGAAAUAUGACGAGCCACACCAAGAGGCAGGUCACACUACACCUGUGCUCGCAUGGUUUCGUGCCAGGCUAUAAGGUCUGGUAUCUCCAUGGUGAAGAUGCUGAACGAGCAGCAGAAGUAGAAGUUGAUGACGGUGAAGAUGAUGUUGAUAGGAUGGACCAGAUGCUUGAGGAUCUACAGCCUGAACUGGCACCAGAUCAUCAUGAUUCACCUACACCGGAGGUUCAGAAGUUCUUCGACCUACUUAAAGCGUCAGAAGAGCCUCUUCACGGGCACACUAACGUGACCGUGCUCGAAUUCGUGACCCGACUGAUGUCAAUCAAGUCCAAGUUUGCAUUUUCAAUUAAUUCUUACAAGGAGCUUGUGGAUUUGAUUAGCGAGGUUCUUCCUACGGGUCACAAGAUGCCCAAAGACAUGUACCAGUCCAAAAAAUUGCUUGAAGGUCUUGGUAUGGAGUAUGAGAAGAUUGAUGUUUGCCAAGACAACUGUAUGCUUUUUUGGAAGGAACAUGGCAGAGAACAGAAAUGCUUAAAAUGUGGGAAGUCGAGGUACGUGGAGCUUGUAAAUGAAGAUGGUGAGAAGGUGGUGACAAAGGUUGCACAUAAACAGCUUCGGUACAUGACUCUCACUCCUAGAGUGAAACGUUUGUUUCUCUCGAGGAAGACCGCUAUGCACAUGAGGUGGCAUAAAGAUUGUACGGACAGACAAGAUGGGUUAAUGGUGCACCCGUCAGAUGGUGAUACAUGGAAGGCUCUUGACAAAUUUGAUCCAGAUUUUGCCAGCGAUGCAAGAAAUGUUCGUAUCGGCUUGGCAACUGAUGGUUUCACGCCGUUCAAUAUGACCGCUGGGUCGUAUUCAUGUUGGCCUGUCAUUACCAUACCGUACAACCUUCCACCUGCUCUUUGCAUGAAAUAUGAGUUUAUGUUCCUAUGUCUUGUUAUACCUGGGCCUGAGCAUCCUGGCGUACGCCUCAAUGUGAUGCUUCAACCACUGAUUGAAGAGUUAAAGAAGCUAUGGCAUGGUGUGGAAGCCUAUGACUGCUUCAAGAAGCAGAAAUUCAAUCUUCGUGUUGCAUAUCUGUUCUCGGUUCAUGAUUUUAUGGCGUAUGGUAUUUUCUCUGGAUGGAGCGUGCACGGUAGAUUGACGUGUCCUUAUUGUGCUAAAGAUACAGAUUGUUUUUGUCUUAGUGCUGGUGGCAAGAUAUGUUACUUUGAUUGCCAUAGAUGUUUUCUACCCUUCAAUCACCCCUUCAGAAGGCAGAGAAAGGAAUUUAGGAAGGGCACCAUUGUCACGAAGGGACCGCCCAAGCGACGUAGUGGGAUAGAAAUUACAGAAGAGCAUAUGAAACUUGUCCUAGACGAGAGUGGGAAAAGGUAUCAAGGUUUCGGUGAGGAGCAUAACUGGACUCACAUAUGUGGCUUGUGGGAGCUUCCUUAUGCUAAGUCAUUGAUUUUGAUGGACAACAUCGAUGUCAUGCAUCAAGAGAGUAACUUUUGCCAAGCCCUCAUAAAUACAUGCAUGGAUUUCCCUGAUAAAACGAAAGACAAUGACAAGGCACGCAUGGACUUAGCAGUGAUAUGUGAUCGUCCAACCCAAGUGCUUAGAGAAAACGGAGGCAAACCAAAAGCUGACUAUUGUCUGAAAUCUAAGCAACGGAAAGAAGUGAUGAAGUGGAUGAAGGAUAUUAAAUUCCCCGUUGGUUAUGCCGCUGGUUUUAGAAGAUCUGUGAACUUGAAGACAAUGAAGAUGAAUGGACUGAAGAGCCAUGACUUCCACAUAAUUAUGGAGAGGCUCAUGCCUGUAAUGUUUCGUGGGUACAUUUCCGAAGCUGUGUGGAAAACGUUAGCUGAAGUUAGCUAUUUCUACAGACAGUUGUGUGCUAAAGAAAUCAGAAGAGAUGUGAUGGAACAGCUGGAGAAAGAGGCACCGGUGCUUUUGUGCAAAUUGGAAAAAAUAUUUCCACCGGGUUUCUUCAAUCCUAUGCAGCAUCUCUUUAUACAUCUUCCAUAUGAGGCUAAGGUCGGUGGUCCUGUUCAGUAUAGGUGGAUGUUUCAUAUAGAAAGAGCAUUAAAAAAGCUUAGAGCAAUGGUGGGAAAUAAGGCAAGAGUUGAAGGAUGUAUUGCGGAACAAUUUAAACUAAAGGAGGUAGCACACUUCACAAGUUGUUACUUUGCAGAAGAACAUAAUGUAUUUGCUCGAAAGAAAAGGUACCAUGAUGAUGAACGAGAGAUGCCUCCGUGUAGUGAUCUUUCGAUUUUUCAGACAAACGGCAAAGCCGUUGGUCCACCCAAGGCAUAUCACCUCAGUAUGGAAGAACGGAAGUCUGCUUUACUGUACAUGUUCACGAAUAUGCCUGAGGUGGAGAAAUACUUUUUGUAAGACUUGUUUUCUUAAACUGUUCAUAUGUGAAUUAGUUUAUGUUAUCAAAUAUCUCAUGUCAUACAAUAAUAUUUGACAGCGAGUUUGAUGAACAAAACAUGAGGUGUCUCGGUAGGCCAACAGCGAGAGACAUAGACAAAUUGCGACGCGAUGGUAUGCAUGGGCGACCUAAUUUCAUUAUGUGGCUUCGGGACUGUGUAAGUCUUAAUUAUGUGGCUCCGAGAGCUAAUUUCGUUUAACUAAUAUUACAGAAUUUGCUAAUGCUUUGUGGCAUGAUUGACAGUUUGGGGAGGAAAUGAAUUUGAAUGAUGACUUACGUCAGUUAUCUAUUGGAAGCGUAACUGCCAAAAGCUAUGGACGUUACGACGUCAAUGGAUAUCGCUUUCGUUCAAGCAUUUUCGAAUCAAGUCAUCCUAUGGCCGCCACUCAAAAUAGUGGAGUCGUUACUAGGGCAACCGACAUGGAAGGACACGAAGCCUGCUAUUACGGGAAAAUCAAAAAUAUAAUCGAGAUUACAUUUGCUGGAAAUAAGCCUUUAGCGCUAGUUUUCUUUGAGUGUAAAUGGUAUGACCCGAAGUAUUAUAGGACCGAAUUUGGGAUGACACAGAUCCAACCUGAGAAAUUGCUUCAAGGACACGACACGUAUAUCCUUGCCCAUCAAGCAGACCAAGUUUAUUUCUCGACAUAUCCAUGCAAAAAGUUGUCUAAAUGGAGGGUUGUGUACAAUGUAAAUCCCCGCGAACGCCUAUACACUCCUGGUGAGGACGAAUAUCAAAUUGGUCACCUUGAGCAGGUUGAUGAGGUGUUUCAAGAAGAAGAGUUGCCAACUAGUUUUCAUAUUGAUCCUGCACCGGCAUUAGAUUCACUAGUUGCAGACGUUAACGACUUAACUUUUCCCGAGAGACGGAGAAGACAACCUGUUAGGAGAAAAGUUACAUGGCGACCUCUGCAUAGAAGAGAACAAAUAGAUCCUGAUUUUGAUGAUAUUUAACAAGUAAAGUUGUUUUGUUAUUUCAUUUGUUUAUAUUUUAAGUAUUAUGUCAUUUUGAUGCACUAAUGAAUAAUUUCUUAUUUUUUAUGAAGGAUGCCGCCAAAAUCAAAGAAGUCAGUGAAGGGGUUGUUCAAGGGCCUGGGCCUUUUUCAGGGCAGUUCUUCGAGCAUCAGUAGACGUCGAGAGCUAUUGAGCGCGGUACAUGGAGAUGAGGUAACAUAUCUUGUACAAAUAAAUUUGUUUACAUAUUUACAAAUAAAUCUUGAGUUGUAUGUACCAGGAUGAGCAGCACACUGAGGAGCAGCACAUUGAGAGGAGCAGCACAAUGAGGCUGAGCAGCACAAUGAGGAGGUGGAGCUCAAUGAGGAGGUGGAGCACGUGACAUGGGACCAGGCCGCACAGCAUCACCAGCCAUGGGACCAGUGGGACCACCAGAGAGAGCAGCAACAAGCGUGGGACCAGUGGGGCCAACAGGGCGAACCGACUGACAACCCGAUGGAUGAUGGCUCGGGAGGCUCUUCAGCGACACGCACACGUCGCUCAAGAAAAAGCCACUCAGUAAAGCCUCGUCACGCGAUAGAGCGAGAGGCUGAUAGGACUUUAAUCAUGCCACAUGGAGAUCGGUGAGUGUAAUAUAUUAACUUAUCUAAUAUAACUAUUAUGUGUAUUGUUAAUGUUUUUGUGUAAUGCAGGAAUUGGGAGGACCUGUCCUUUGACGACAAGGGACACCACACUCAGGUUAACCUUACGUUGGGUUCUCUUUGCCGCCUUCACUACCCUGGUAUAGUGAAGGUGUCAAACGGUGAUACCGAGGAUGAGGUGCUCGUCUUUACCUGGGAUGAGUACAAGUUUAAAAAGGAACGAAACCACACCGACAGACAGGGACUUGUGCGUAAUGACUUUUGGGUAUGAAUUCUUUAUUUUUUUGUUAUGUUUCUUAAUAUUGUAAAUCUAUGACUUAUACCAUUUGUAUUCUUUAUGUUGUAGCUUCGAUAUCGGUUGCCUGACGGAGAGGAUUACAUGGGGCACGUUGAACGUGUCUUGCAAAACAAUGCAAAGAAGCUGGUGAAGGAUGUCAUAUACUAUGCGAGAAUUCAGGCUACAAACCUGUAUUUUCAAAAGUAUCCGGAAGAAGCAGGCCCCUUGAAUAAAAAGGAAGGGUCCUCAAAGAUAUAUUUGACUGAGGAUCAAUAUCGUGAGGUUAGUAUUCAAUUUGUUUUACCCUUUAUAUUUAUUGUUGUGAUUGAUAUAAUAUGUAACAUUGUGUGUGUGCAGGUGAUGGUUCCAUGGAUGGCGCCCGUGCCUGAUGCGUACUAUGCUUGGUGUCGAUAUUGGGCUUCCGAAGGCUUCCAGAAAGCGUCAGCGCAUCACAGACAAUGUCGAGGAACCAAUCCUAACCACAAGUUUGGCGGUGACGACAUGAUACGAAAAACUAAAAGAAUGGUAAGUUUCAUCUUUCUAUGUCGAUCAACAAAUAAUACGAUUGCUUAUGAAUGUUUUUUGUUUAUACAGGAAGCUACGAGUGGCCAAAAGCCUAGUGACAUUGAGGUCUACCAGGAGGGCCACAAAGGACCAGACCCGAACAACCCUGACCAGCUCUGCAGCCAGACAGCCACGGAUCGCUUGGUGAGUUUUGGCUCAAAAGUUCAAACGUUUAAAGUAUAUAAAUUCCUGCAUUUGUAAGGUUGUGAAUGAUGUAUAGGCGGCAUAUGGGGAGGAGAUGGUUCGUCGCCAUGGCCCUGACUUUGACUGGCGCCAUGAACUGGUGGAUCCCUCGGUGGUGUAUGCAAGUGGUGGUGGCAAAGCGCAUGGACGGUAAGCUCUAACUUAUGAAAUUAUAUGGUUGACACUAAAUUGAUUAUGCAGUAAUCACUUUUGAAUCACUUAUAGAUACGCACUCUUCGACGAAUUCAUUGACUCGUCGUCGGUGAGAUCUCAGAGGACGGGUUCAUCUUCCCGUAGCUCAUGCUCUCGUCGAUCGAACGAGCAGGAGUUGGAGAUUAUGAGGAUGCGUGAAGAGAUGAGACAACAACGCGAAUUUAUGGAGGCUUGCAAUGCACACAACCAAGCGAUGUAUCAAGUGAGUACACAUAAUCCGAACUCUAAAUUAUUAUAUUUCAAUACAACAUCUUUAGUAGUAACACAUAUGUGUUUAACAGUUAAUGCAGCAACAGGGCAUGACAUCAAAUUUUCCACCGCCACCACAAUGGAGCCAAUUUGCAAACACACCAGUUCCACCACCACAAUUCACCACCCCUCCGACACAUAUACCUGCACCUGGAGAUAGGGUACGUUUGAUAACUCUCCAUUAAUUUAUACAUUUGUAUACUUUUUGAUAUUUGCAUUUAACGUGUUGAUAUUUGCUAACUUGCAUAGGUUACGCCUGAAGCGGGUGGCAGUGGGUCUGAUCCAGCAGUAGGGACUGGAUUUGUUGACUCGCUCUUCGCGUUCCCUCCUCCUGGUGGUGAAGGCGGCAGCGGUCAAAGCUCUAACCACCCAAGUGGUGGUUAUCUCUAAACACUUAAACUUAUGUUUGAAAUGUCGUACUCGUUGGUGGAUGUUAUGUUUCAAUACUAUGUCGUACUCGUUGUUUGAUGUUGGUGAAUGUUAAGUUUGAAUACUAUGUCGUACACGUUGGUGGAUGUUUUAAUUAUAAAUGCAUGUGUUUAUGUCUACAUGCAUGUGUUUGUGCAUGCCGUAUCUCUACAUGUGUUUGUAAUGUGGCUGUUAUAUGUGAUUUAUGUUAUGUUUGAUAUAUGUUAUGUGUGCAGAAAUAGUGACAUAAUUUAGUGUUGUUUUUGUAGCAGUAUAGGGUAAUUCCCGUCGGCCCAGUUAAUUCCCGUCGGCUAUGGUCGAACCGACGGGAAUUAACUACUAACUCCCGUCGGCCCAGUUAAUUCCCGUCGGCCACGUAGGGCCGAUGGGAAUUAAUUAAUAACUCCCGUCGGCCUGGGGAACCGACGAGAAUUAAUUAAUAACUCCCGUCGGCCUGGGGAACCGACGGGAAUUAAUUAAUAACUCCCGUCGGCCUGGGGAACCGACGGGAGUUAGCCUUAAUUCCCGUCGGUCGUUUUCUAGCCGACGGGGAUUAAUUAUUCCCGUCAGCCGCCGACGGGGAUAACCUUAUCCCCGACAAGGGAUGCCUGUCGGCCUGAAACCGACGGGAAUAAGCCUUAAACCGACGGGAAUUACUUAUUCCCGUCGGUUUAUUACUUAUUCCCGUCGGUUUUAGGCCGACGGGAAUUAAGUAAAUUCCUGUGAGGGCAUUGUAUUCGCACGUGCGCAUCCUUAGAUGGUGUUUAUGUCCACUCAAGUAAAACACCACACAAAAAUAGUGUUUCUAUGAUAUUGAGGGCAUUGUAUUCGCACGUGCGAAUACAAUGCCCUCAAUAUCAUAGAAACACUAGUUGUACUCUAAUACCCUCUAGUGUGAAUACAAUGCCCACAAUAUCAUAGAAACGUCAUUUGAGGUUUAAAAGGUGAUCUAUUGUUUUGAAUUCUUUAUAUUCAAACUUUUUAGCAACUGUGGUGUUUUACUUGAGUGGACAUAAACACCAUUUGGGUAUGCGAAUACAAUGCCCUCAAUAUCAUAGAAACAUUAUUUUUGUGUGGCAACUAUACAAUAUCAUAGAAACGUCAUUGCUAAUGACCUUUUGUGAUAACAGGUUUCCACCAUACAGUUGCUAAAAAGUUGGAAUAUAAAGAAUUCAAAACAAUAGAUCACCUUUUAAACCUCAAAUGACGUUUCUAUGAUAUUGUGGGCAUUGUAUUCACACUAGAGGAAAAUCAUCUAAGGAUGCCAUGAAUAGACGGGAUUAUUGGGCUAGCUAAUGACCAUAGUCUUUAUUUUAUUUUGAGAAACGAUGUGGUAUAUUGAUGUGUGAUGUUUUACUUGAGUGGACAUAAACACAAUCUAAGGAUGCCAUGAAUAGAUGGGAUUAUUAGAAACCUGGUAUCACAAAAGGUCAUUAGCAAGCCCACUAACGUCUUCAUCCACUAGUUGUACUCUAAUACCCUCUAGUGUGAAUACAAUGCCCACAAUAUCAUAGAAACGUCGUUAUUGGGCUAGCUAAUGACCUUUUGUGAUACCUGGUUUCCAAUAAUCCCGUCUAUUCAUGGCAUCCUUAGAUGGUGUUUAUGUCCACUCAAGUAAAACACCACACAAAAAUAGUGUUUCUAUGAUAUUGAGGGCAUUGUAUUCCCACGAGAGGGUAUUGAGGGUAUUAGUGUUUCUAUGAUAUUGAGGGGUUGUACUCUAAUACCCUCUCGUGUGAAUACAAUGCCCACAAUAUCAUAGAAACGUCAUUUGAGGCCCUUGAGUGGACAUAAACACAAUCUAAGGAUGCCAUGAAUAGACGGGAUUAUAGUUAACAUAUUAUCACAAAAGGUCAUUAGCUAGCCCAAUAACGUCUUCAUGCACACAAAAAUAGUGUUUCUAUGAUCACAAAAAUAGUGUUUCUAUGAUAUUGAGGGCAUUGUAUUCGCACGAGAGGGUAUUAGAGUACAACUAGUGGAUGAAGACGUUAUUGGGCUAGCUAAUGACCUUUUGUGAUACCUGGUUUCCAAUAAUCCCGUCUAUUCAUGGCAUCCUUAGAUGGUGUUUAUGUCCACUCAAGUAAAACACCACACAAAAAUAGUGUUUCUAUGAUAUUGAGGGCAUUGUAUUCGCACGAGAGGGUAUUAGAGUACAACUAGUGGUGCUAAUACCCUCUCGUGCGUAAUACCGUCUCGUGCGAAUACAAUGCCCACAAUAUCAUAGAAACGUCAUUUGAGGUUUAAAAGGUGAUCUAUUGUUUUGAAUUCUUUAUAUUCCAACUUUUUAGCAACUGUAUGGUGGAAACCAGGUAUCACAAAAGGUCAUUAGCUAGCCCAAUAACGUCUUCAUCCACUAGUUGUACUCUAAUACCCUCUCGUGCGAAUACAAUGCCCUCAAUAUCAUAGAAACGUCAUUUGAGGUUUAAAAGGUGAUCUAUUGUUUUGAAUUCUUUAUAUUCCAACUUUUUAGCAACUGUAUGGUGGAAAAAGGUGCCUUACAACCUUAACAUAUGUUUGGAUAGUUCUCUCUCUCAAUUUGGCUAAAUUUUCCAUAGUCUUUAUUUUAUUUUGAGAAACGAUGUGGUAUAUUGAUGUGUGGUGUUUUACUUGAGUGGACAUAAACACAAUCUAAGGAUGCCAUGAAUAGACGGGAUUAUAGUUAACAUAUUAUCACAAAAGGUCAUUAGCUAGCCCAAUAACGUCUUCAUCCACUAGUUGAUGUGUGGUGUUUUACUUGAGUGGACAUGUUGGGACUAUGCUUCGUCGCCUAAGGUCUUGUAGGGAGAAAUAGUUUCGGCUGAAGCUGUCCGCAUGUGAUGACCGAAGGUUCCUCAAUAUGAAGCUUCAGAAUUACAAACCGACUUAAGAGUAGAAUGACCUUACAGUCCAUAAAUCUUUGAGUCGUUGUUGUAAUUCCUUAUAAGGGACAUAAUUGUAAUUCUUCAUAGGCUGUGUCCCGUGCUUAUAAAUAGUGAACAGUAUCCCUUUAUUGUUCACGCAUUCCUGUAAUUGCAAUCGCAUCAUUCGGGAAUCAAUCUUUGUCAAGGCAAAGGUAUAAUUGUAUCCAAUAUUUAAACACAUUAAAUCGAUAUAAUAUGAAAGUAAUAUAAUUCAUUUAUAAUUUGUUUACCUUUGACGCCUCGUAUUUUACCUUAUUUAAACUAUUAUAAUUCGAUUACGAAGAUUUGACCUUCGUAAUUGUAUUGUCUUUAACCUUCGUCCAAAGUUCAUUAAUCCCUAAGGGAAUAAUGUUUCGUUGGAUGAAGGGCAUUAACAUCUAACAUUUUUUAUGUUGCCUUGUUCUUAAUUCAUAGCAUUUGAGAACAAGUCCCCAACAGGACAUAAACACAAUCUAAGGAUGCCAUUCACAAAAGGUCAUUAGCUAGCCCACUAAUGUCUUCAUCCACUAGUUGUACUCUAAUACCCUCUCGUGCGAAUACA
rnacentral:lncRNA from 1 species